rnacentral:rRNA from 1 species
GACGAAGGAUGCAAGCGUUAUCCGGAUUCAUUGGGUUUAAAGGGUGCGUAGGCGGACUUGUAAGUCAGUGGUGAAAUCUCUUCGCUUAACGAAGAAACUGCCAUUGAUACUGCAGGUCUAGAGUAUAGAUGACGUUGGCGGAAUAUGACAUGUAGUGGUGAAAUACUUAGAUAUGUCAUAGAACACCGAUUGCGAAGGCAGCUAACGAAACUAUAACUGACGCUGAGGCACGAAAGUGCGGGGAUCAAAC